rnacentral:rRNA from 1 species
GUGGGGAAUCUUCCGCAAUGGACGAAAGUCUGACGGAGCAACGCCGCGUGAGUGAAGAAGGUUUUCGGAUCGUAAAGCUCUUUCGUUAGGGACGAACGUGCUCUUUGUGAAUAAUGAGGAGUAAUGACGGUACCUAAAUAAGAAGCCACGGCUAACUACGUGCCAGCAGCCGCGGUAAUACGUAGGUGGCAAGCGUUGUCCGGAAUUAUUGGGCGUAAAGCGCGCGCAGGCGGGAUAUCAAGUCUGUCUUAAAAGUGCGAGGCUCAACCUCGUGAGGGGACAGAAACUGGUAUUCUUGAGUGUCGGAGAGGAAAGUGGAAUUCCAAGUGUAGCGGUGAAAUGCGUAGAGAUUUGGAAGAACACCAGUGGCGAAGGCGACUUUCUGGACGAAAACUGACGCUGAGGCGCGAAAGCCAGGGGAGCGAACGGGAUUAGAUACCCCUGUAGUCC